rnacentral:lncRNA from 1 species
UUCCUUCAUUUUUCUCCUUCUCCUUUGCAAGGUCAACUAUCAACCCAUUUCUUUCUUCCUCCAAUUCAGCAACUCUGGAUUGCAGCCUUGCUAUCUCAGCAUCCUUUGUUCCAAUCUCCUGAAUCAAGGAUCUGACCUUGCUAUUCACAGGAGUCUUCACUGAUGAACUAGGCUAAACUGUUGUCCACUCAAAUUUACUAAGCCCUCAGCAGCUUCUCUUGAGCCACUUCCCCCAGACUUCGAGCUUCCCCCUUCCCCACUACCACAUAUAGCUAACACUUCCUUCUUCUUUUUCUUCCUUAUUUUCCCAGACUCAGCCCCAUCAACAUCUUUAGUAGCCCCUAUCAGAACAAACCUAUUUUCUCCAUCUGAACUACAUCAGAAAAUACAAAACACGAGUUUACCUCUCUUUUGGUUUCUUGAGAUUUGGCAGAAGAUCCAGGUUCAUCUCCUUCACUGGCAGAGAAUAGAGAUGUAAUCAUCAGAUUCAGAGUUUGAGGCAGUCUCUUUGGUUGGAGAUUCUUUUCUUUGUUUGGCCUUCAAUCUCUCUUUUAGAGCUUUCUUCAAAGGACUAGAAGCAACCGUUUUUCUUGCUAGAAUUUUCUGACGAUGAAUCUAGGUUUAGGGUUUUCAAUCGAUGGUGUGGAAGAUGAGGUGGUGUUAGGUGAGACUAGUGGUGGAGUUCCUGGAUUUUCUUGGGGAUUUGUCAUGGUGGAGAAUUUAUGUAAAUCUUAGGAGAAUAUUGGAGAAAAGAAUGGACGAUCA